GCUGCCGAGCGCCCUUCACGCCUAAGCCGCCCCCCUGAGACGCGGGCAGGGCGCUGCCGGCCCCGCUUUGUGCCGGCGGACCCGGGAGGGCCAGGGCGCAGCCCACCAACAACCGCUGGGACACGGCCCGGCGGGACGCCAGCGGCACCUGCGGGAGCAGGCGGAAUCCCCGCCUCCCGGACACGCUUUAACGGCCGCCCGCCGCAGCGCCCGCCCUGCGCGGCCCUGACAGGAACCGGGGGCGGCUUCCCACCGGCCAGGUGCCGCCCGAAGCCCCUCACAGGCCUCCGAGGGAUCUCCGGAGAGCGGUGCCCGGGGCCAGACCGGGCCCGGCUGCACCUCCCCGGGAGCCGAGCGAAGCCCGGAGCCCGGCCCGCGGGGUCAGGACCAACGCCGGGGCCGGCCGCGGCUCCCUGCCCUCACCUCAGCUCCCCUCAGCCGCCACCGCCCCCCGCCAUCGGCCACCCGCCGCCGCCGCCGCCCCCGAGCACUUCCGGGCCGCGGCCGGAAGUGGGCGCUGGAAAACCAGGGCGCGCGGGGCGGGGGCGGGCUUCCCUCGAUGCCCCGCCCCUUCCCGAUGCCCNNNNNNNNNNNNNNNNNNNNNCUUGGCCCCGCCCCCUCCUCUCUCGACCCCGCCCCCGCGGGGUGAGCGCCCUUAAAGGGCCAGCAGCGCUGGGGGCGCUCCGGGAGGGCACAGCUCGGCCUCGCGUCCCGCUCGCCCCCAGCGCCCGGGCACGUCGCACAUCGCUGCUCCUCGCGGCGUACAAACCCAAGUUCCUCAGAGCUCGGCCCCCAGCCCCGGGGAGGGCCAGGGAAGGUGUUGGCCCCAGGGCCAGGGGCUCCCAGGAGCCGAACGGGGCGCAGGGGCUUUUCUCUUCAGCCUCCCCGCGCCACUUCUUUAGGUCUUCGCAGAAAAGGGUUGGGGAAAGAAGGCACGGCCCCCUUCGGUCUUCAGCUGCUGCCACGGUGAUGCUUCUCAACCCCGAAGUGCAGCUGUGCUGCAGCCACAAGGCCGGUGACCCAACUGUCUCUAUCACCCCCAGCAUCAAGGGUUGUUUUUUACCCUACUCAGACCAUUAA
rnacentral:lncRNA from 1 species